GGGCCGGUAGCUCAGCCAGGUAGAGCAUCUGGCUUUUAACCAGAAGGUCCCGGGUUCAAAUCCCGGCCGGCCCACCA
rnacentral:tRNA from 1 species